GCAGCCUGCUGUCGCCUCUUCUGUGACACCCAGAGCUCAGAGCCCACUAUGCACCUGAACUGGAGCUUCCUCUUCUGGGUGGCCACAGCUACAGGUGUUCACUCCCAGGUCCAGUUGAGGCAGCCUGGGGCUGAAGUGAGGAGACCUGGAGACUCGGUCAGGCUAGCUUGUAAGGCCUCUGGAUAUACCUUCACCAGCUAUUAUAUGCACUGGGUGAGGCAGAAGGCAGGACAGGGGCUUGAAUGGAUUGGAAGGAUCGAUCCUAGUGAUGGUGAGACCAAAUAUGCUCAGAAGUUCCAGGGCAAGGUCUCCCUGAUUGCAGACACCUCCUCCCGCACAGCCUCCAUGGAGCUGAGCAGGCUGACAGCUGAGGACUCGGCCAUGUACUACUGUACGAGGCACAGUGUGCACACCCACAUCCUGAGUGUGUCAGAAACCUGAGGCAACG